rnacentral:rRNA from 1 species
UACGAAGGGGGCUAGCGUUGUUCGGAAUCACUGGGCGUAAAGCGCACGUAGGCGGAUCUUUAAGUCAGGGGUGAAAUCCCGAGGCUCAACCUCGGAACUGCCUUUGAUACUGGGGAUCUCGAGUCCGGGAGAGGUGAGUGGAACUGCGAGUGUAGAGGUGAAAUUCGUAGAUAUUCGCAAGAACACCAGUGGCGAAGGCGGCUGUCUGGUCCGGUUCUGACGCUGAGGCGCGAAAGCGUGGGGAGCAAACAGGG